AUACUUAGUAAACUACGGUAAUUUCCAGAAACACCGCUUUUAAAGCUUUAUUUAAAUGCGGAUCGUCUGUGUGUCUCCUCAGUAUUAUAUAUUGUGUUUUACGUUUAGAAUGUCGUUUUUGUAGUUAUUUAUGUUUUUUUUUCGGAAUGUUUGCAUUAUAAUUUAUGUUGACUAAAGUAGGCCUACUUUAUUGUAAAAACAAUGUCUCCGUCUAAAACUAGCCUAUUAUUAUUGACAUUUGUCCUGCAAAUAAAACAGUUUAUCCAAUUCAAUUAUUUGUCUAAUAUCUAUAGUCCUACGAUAAUUAACCAUGAUUUUAAUUGUUCAAACCCAACAAACAUUGGUCCGACGGCAACGUCGUGUCCCUGGCCUAAAAUAGUCGCGGUAGGACGGCAUAAACCGGUAAAAAUCUGUGACAUAUAACAUUUCCUAAAAAUGCAUUGAGAUACAUUUGUACAUGUCAACAGAUCUCUAUGGGUUGCAUGUAUGAUUGUUACUUUGACUUUAGCUACGUGUAAUUAUAUAAAUAUUGAAGCGGUUGAAAGGGCGUCCUCUUGUGACGUCCUCUACACGUGCAUUUUUAGUCCAUCGUGACCCUUUGUAAAGUUCUUAUGAAAUAAGCAAAAUAAAUUGUGCUUACCUUGCAUAAUACUGCAAUGAUUCAUUUGAGUGCCCAAUUAGUUAUAAAAAUGUUGUGAUAGACGUCCGUUGACGUUACACGUCAAACAACACCCAUUGCAAAAAGCAGGAAAUCUUUUUUUUAAAUACACGAUCAUUUGUAUUCAUCUUAGUUAAAUGACACAUUUACAUAUAUAAUGUUAUAAUAUCUGCUUUCACAAUUUAAAGUGGAUGAUUGCCAAAACUGUGCUGUCAAAAUCGGUGAUUCAUACUCCACUCCAGUUGGUGGCGGUAAUGCGCCUUCAGUUGAUUUACCAUCAGCAAUAAACUCUAAAGAAGAAGAAGACUCGGGAAUGGCGGUGUGGUUUAUUUCGAAAAGUGACGGAGUUAUACAAAUACUACUGUUUGGUAAGUGCAUUUUGUUUAGUUUUAUUAAUGUGGUUGAGUCUUACUUGUUGGACACGAAGGAACUGAAAGAAAUGUUGCGCACAUUGUCAACUGCCAUGUAGUUUGUGUUUGGCUGAAAUUAGCUAGCAGGCUAAAAGGUAGUUUAAAGUUACGCUAGUUUCUACACUUGAACUGUGCUGUGUGACGUUAAUGCUUCUUGCUAGGAUAUUGAUAGCAAAAUCAUUAAUCCCCCAAACUGCUAACUCGUUCCCUGCCACAGUUAUCUUGUCAUUUAAAAAUCAACCGUUCACUGCCAAAGACAAGUUAUUAUUCAUUACAGAAAAUGUAUUGUGAGCCAUCAAAGUUUAGAGAACAUGUUAAAAAACGCUGAAGCUGGCUCAGAACUUUUUUUGUAAAGGCUGGCGGGUAAAGAGCUAACGUUGGCUGUGUUUUGUGUCAGUUACAAUUAACAUUAAGUUGAGUAAUUUCAUGCAACUACAGGAACAAUGUGUAAAUAAAUCAGGGGUUCCAAACCUUCUUCCUUUGGGACCUCCGCCCUAAUUGUUUGUAUUAAACACAAAAUGUGACAGCAAGUGUCACAUUCAGUUUAGAAGUAGUCAUGUGUCCAGGUGUGUGUACAUAUUAAUGAACAGAUUUUUCUUUCAGGAUUCCAAAGGAAUAUUUUCCAUGCUUUUCGGUUUUAAAGAUGAACUUCAGUGAAUAUCUGGCAUUCUGGAACAUGGCAAGUCUACAUCUUCUAUUAAGAGAUUGCAUUGUGACAAAGAAUGUGUGUGUUUGUGCGGAUGUAGUUUGUGUUUGUUUGUUUUUCUCUAUCUCUUUCUCUGUGUAGAUACAAAUAUUUGGGUAGUAAACAAAAGAACCAUAGUGACAGCAACAAAUCUGAAAACAAAACUGUAAUUUUUCUGAGGUGAAGUAAUCCGGAGUCAUUUAUUUCACAGAAUCACGUUAAAUGCAUUUAUGGUGAAAUUCAUUAUGAGGGGUGGUGGUCAACUUAAAAAGGAGCCAUUCAAAGCUAUACUAUGUAAUUCAAGGUAAUUUUGGCCUUAUGACAUUGCAAAAAUCUCUUGUUCCUUGUCUAUUUUUUCAUUUAUGUAAUUUUUAUUUUCUCUAUUUAGUGGACUUCUCUGUAAGAACAUCAGGUUUUACCAGAAAUACCACUUUUACAAAGUUUACAGGGUCUUCAGACCUGCCAACCUGCACGCAUUUUGCGUAGUAGGUACGCAUUUUCACCUCAAAGUACGCUGGUACGAUUUGUCACUCUAAACUACGCUGGUACGAUUUGUCACUCUAAACUACGCAAAAACCCGAUGGCUGCUGCGUGCAUUACUUAGAAAAAGCAACAGAAAAAAGGAACCAAUCAUCAAAUAUCCAAUCAUAGCACGGAGUUUUUCCCCCGAAAAGAAAGCGGCGAUGAUUGACAUGUCCUAUGGCCUAUCAAUCAAUAACAAGAGUCAGCAAAUCGGCGGAACCACAAAUUCCUGCGUGAUCCUUCUUACGCAUUGUUUGAAACGACAAGUCAAGACGGCUUCUGAGCUCUAAGGUAAAUGAAUCGGGUGGAUGUAGAAAGUUGAAAUAUUGAAUUAGCUUAAUCCUAUGCUGUCGAUGAUCUCGCGGGCUCAUUUGAUAACGUGCACUUUCCCGGAAGAUGCGCUACCAUUAUUUCUGAUUUAUAAAUGAGCUCUCACGAAAAGUUACCAUGAUUUUACCAAGUAACAUAGGUCCCGAUUGCGCUGGUGGAUUCUCACACUUAAUAACGUGCAUUUAUAUUUGCGAGAGAGCAUCAAGUUUUAGUCACAUAAACGGCGUGCCGGCACCGUUAUCUUUCAGAAAAUGGAAUCCGCCUGACAGCGGAGCGGAUUGAAGGCGCUCUGCAAAGUCGAGCUCUCGAUAAUUGUCAAUAAUAUAAUAUCUCAUAUGCAAUCUUUUGAGAUUAGUUAUUUAUUCAAGUUUAUAAUUAUUAAAGAAGAUUAUGGCAGGCUGGGAAGUGCAUGUGUGCAGCAUAGAAAGUUACCGAGAUUUGUUUGUUUGUGCGUGUGUGUGUGUGUAUGACUUGCAGCAAAAAAUGACAUCAGACGAGGACACAGACAGGGAGGGAGAAAGCAGCAGAUACUUCAGUUUCUUACUGACCCCAUAUCAAAGACUCUUCAUAGAAGAUGAAGACUUGCCAUGAUCAAGAAUACCAGCUAUUUGCUGAAGUUCAUCUUUCAAAACGAACAGCAUGGAGUACAGUACUCAUCAGAUGCUGUGAACAGGUGUAGCCCAAAUGCAACAGAUUCAGACUUUGAUGCAGCAAUGGCAGAUCACCUGAAGCACACUGGGGUUGAUGGAUACUUGUUUUAUGGCUGUUUUAACAGUAAUACAAGACUGUUAGGAAAUAAUUUGGUAGUGCCAUAGCUCUGACUUUUAACCAUUAAUGGUGGAACACAUGAAUCACACUCCCGGAAGAGCCGGUGGUCGGGGACCAAGAAAAUGAGUAAACAUUUUGAAAAAAAUGGACUAAAGUAGUGUCAUAUGUUUUUGUAAUACUGUACUUUUGUCAUUUUCAUGUUUGAUUAAUGGCUGCUAAACAUCAAUGUUAAACUCCAUUGCUUUCGAGAUUCUACUAUUUUUAUUUUCUUGUUUGAAUAGUAGCUGUCAAACAAAUGGAAGACCAUUCAAAAAUGUGAUGUUCACUAUAAAAUAUGCUGUGCUAAAUUAAAACACUAAAUUUUGCCUAAAUCCACAAAUAAAGUGUUAUUGUUUGUGAUGUGCA